rnacentral:lncRNA from 1 species
UGGACUUCUAUGUUCACCCAGUGCUUUGUCAGCAGAGCACAAAACCCCUUUGGAAUUAAUACUUCCUAAUUCAUAAAUUGUUGUUUACUCAAACUCUUUUAACUUUGCCUCAUAGUUUUCUUUUAAUAAGUCUUAACCCUGGCCUCCUGCGACUAUGACCUGAUGUGAAAACAGGGAUUUUGCACAUGUAACCAAAUAAAGAAGAAGUCAUUAUGGUGGGUCCUAAUCCAACACCACUGGUGUCUUUAUAGGAAGGGUGAAGUACAAAGGCAGGAGCCCCUGUGCCUGGAGACAGAAUCUCAAAAGACAGCUGCAGAAUGGAGUCAAGCUGUCUCCUGUGGAGGAAUGCCUGGCGCUAUGGGAAGCUGCAAGAGUCAAGAAAGGAUCCUCCUGUGGAGACCACAGAGGGUGAGUGGCCCUGCCAGCACCUUAAUUUCAGACUUAUGCCUGAAAACUGUGGAGGAAUAAAUUGCUGCUGUUUUAAGUCACCGGUGUGGGGGAUGGUAGUCUCCCCUUACCUGUAGUUUCACUUGUUGAGGUUUUGGGCACCUGUGGUCAACCAUUGACCUGUGGUCAAAUAUUAUUAUUUGUCUUGACUCUUUUGAGAGAGAUUACAUUCACAUAACUUUUGUAACAGCAUAUUGCAGUAAUUGUUCUAUCUUAUUAAGUUUUUGUUGUUAAUCUCUUAGUGUGCCUAAUUUAUAAAUUUAUCAUAGGAACAUACGUACAGGGCAAAACAUACUAAAUGGGGGGUUCAUGUAUGUAGGGUCCAGUACUAUCCAUGGUUUCAGGAAGCCAUGGGGGAGGUCUUAGAAUAUAUCUCCUGUGGAUGGGAUCUAUGGUACUUUGUUAUGGCACCCCUAGGAAACUCAAACAGGCAUUUUUUUCCUUGUCAUUCAAGAUGUUAAAGCACAGUACCUGUAGUUACAAGGGAAAUUCAUAAACCCAUUUGGAAUUAAUGUAGAAUAUUUCUAUAUUUUUAUCCCAAGUAAUCUUCAUUUUAAAUAUAGUUCUGUAUGGUCUAUAAAUUCUAUUUGUGAUUUUAAGACUAUGUACCUACUAUUAUUUCAAUUACUUUGAACUGUUGCAGAAGUUGUAGCCAAUUCAAUAAGACAUAAAGCAAAAUAACUGGAAAAACUCCUGGUAACAAAAUGACUAAAAUAUCAGUAUCUGUUAAGAAAAAUAAUUUAUAGAUAGGAAAUCCAUGGAUAGCAAAUGACAAUGAUUCCAAAUUGAUAUUAAUCCAGCCAAGAGGCUUGAUGAAAGAGCAAUAAGCAAAAAUAGUUUACUAUAUUUUAAUAGUAACAGUGUUAAAAUGUAAUUUGAAAAAGAUGCUGGCCAUAUUCACAUAGUUUAACAUGUGUAAGAAUAGGCUUGGGGCUGGGAUUGUGGCUCACUGGCAGAGUGCUCACCUAGCACAUGUUAGGCACUGGGUUCAGUCCUCAGCACCAUGUAAAGAAAAAUAAAUAAAGGCAUUGUGUCCAUCUACUAAACUGAAAAAAAAGCUAAAAAAUCAUACGCUUAAUAGGAAAUAUUUGCUGCUGCUUCUUUAAUUUGUGUACCAGAGAUUGAACUCUGGGGCACUCAACUACUGAGUUGGCAGUGGCCACAUCCCCAACCCUAUUUUGUAUUUAUUUAGAGAAAGGGUCUUACUGAGUUGCUUAGUGCCUCACUUUUGCUGAGGCUGGCCGUAAACUCACAAUCCUCUUGCCUCAGCUUCUAGAGCUGCUGGGAUUACAGGUAAGCACCAUCACACUCAGGCUCCAAGAAAUAUUUGCUUCUGUGAGAAAGUUUACAGGACUUUACAAAAGAAACAAGCCUAUAUUAAGUGGAGACAUACCAUGGAUAUGAAUAGUGUGAAGAUGGAUAUGAAUGGAUAGUGUGAAAAUACUGUUUCUACCUAAAUACAUGUAUGUAUUUCAUGGAACUUGAUUCAGAAAUCCUAGCAGGAUUUUUUUUUUACAGACUAUUAAAAAUGAUGUUAAUGUCUAUUCUGAAAUCAUUUAAUGUUUAAAUGGUUUAUGAUAUCAGAAGUCUAACAAAGUUAAAAUGCAAAUAAACUGAUAAACUAUUUGGUAUACCUAUGUAUAAAUAUGGUAGAAAAAAGUGUCAUAUCCUUAUCAUUUAAAUAGAUUAUAAAUACUAAGGAAAGAAGUAAAGUUCAAUAUUGAAAUAUACGCAAGUGAUUAAAAAAAACACAGUUCACAAGAUAGACAAAUAGACAAUGAAUACUGUGACAAGACAUAAAUAAGCAUUUUAAAACAAUGAUAUAACAGUUUCCAAAAAUUAAGUUGACAAUUUCUUUAAAGUAAAUCAACCAAUAUUGAAGAUUGGGAAAGUACCUGGAAGAAUGAACAGCUACAAUCUUACCAGAAAGAAAUUCAGGCAUAUUCAAUGGCCUUAAAAAAUGAGAUACCUUUUGAACCUAGUAUCCCAAGUCUAGGAAAUUAUCGUAAGUCAAAAAUUAUGCCCAAAGGUACUGGCAUGUGUAACAACAGAAAAAUGGAACCGAAUGGACAUCCCAGAAACAAAACUAUGUAUUUCAAUAGAUUUUUGACCAGAUUGCUAUGCUAAUUAAAAAGGAAAUCAUUUUUCAACAAAUUGUGUUGAAACAUUUGAAUAUCCACAUGAAAAAAAACAAACUUCUUACAUCAUACAUCACAAUUAACUCAAAGUGGAUCAUAUACUUAAAUGUAAAAGCUAAAACUAUAAGACUUCUGAAAGAAAAAAAAUGGAAAUAAUAAUAAUUGAGAUCUUGGGAUAAACAAAGAUUUCUUAGUAUAUAAACAACAAAUCACAAGUAAAAAUUGAUAAAAUUGCAUGUCAUCAAAAUUAACAAUGUCUGCUCUUUCAAAGACACUGUUAAAGAAAAUGAAAGACAAGCCACAGACUGGAGAAACAGUCACAUUUAUCCAACAAAGGGCUUGCAUUUAGAAUAUAAUAAAGAACUCAAUCAAUUCCACAAUAAGAAGACAAACAUCCAAUUUUUAAAAAUGGAAAAAAAUACUGUUGAGCAACAAAGAUAUAUUUCACUAAAGGCACAAAUGUCCAAUAUGUUCAUUACAAAAUGCUACAACUUUUAAGUCAACUUUUUAUUAAAGCCAUGUGAGACUGUACCUAUGUACCCACCAGGAUGGCUAAAAUUAGAAAGACUGGCAGUAUCCAAUAGUGGUAAUAAUAAAUAAUGCCUUGUAUAUUGCUGGUUGUAAAUUAAAAUGUAAAAAACAACUUUGGAGAACAAUCUUUUGUAUAAACUUAAAGGUAUACUUCCAAUAAGACCUAGUAACUUUACUCCAAAAUAUCUAUCCAAGAGAAAUGAGUGUGUGUGUGUGUGUGUGUACUCAUUUCAUGUGUAUAUAUGUGUAUGUGUAUACAUAUACAUAUAUGUGUGUGUAUAUAUAUACACUCAUUUAUUUUUACAUACAGAUUCUCUUAUAGUCAUUAAAUAUAGACUUUUACACACAUAUUUAUAGCAACUUUGUAAAAGUUCCUAAUGUAAAUAACACAAAUGUCCAAAUAAUGCACCAUCAAUUACAGAAAAUUAAAGUGAAUAUUCAAAUAUAAAAUAGUUGAUAAUUAAAUUUUAAAAUGAAAUCAAUAAAACUUAGAUGAAAUAUAAUAAUAGAGAAAAUAUUAAUAAAUAGUUUCAUAAAAUGGAAUAAUAUUCAGCAUUAAAAAGAACAAAAAUUAUUUAUAGCAUGCUCCAAAAUGAAUGAAUCUCAAAAAGAUCUCAGAAAAUAAAAGAGAAUCACUGUAUGACUGCAUUGAUACACAGUUCUAGAACUAGCAAACCUCUUCUGCAGGCAAAUCAUUGCUUGCUUUUGACUAAGCAGGUGGGGAUGUUGACCACAUAGGGACUUAAGAGAAAUGCUUGAAGAUGUGGAAGCUACAGCUUGAUUCAGAUGGUAGUUAAACCAAUGUGAACAUUUAAAUUUGUUUAAAAAUGUAAAAGGAAUGAUACAAUUUAUGUACAAGUGUGUUAACUGUAGCAUUAUUCAUAAUGGAAAAAUGUACAGUGCAUACAUUGAAGCAUUAAAAUGUAAUUUAUUUGGGAAUCUAUUAAAAUAAUGUACAUAAAGAAUAAUAAUAUGAAAAAUGAAAUACUGCUGAGUGAAGAAAAGUAAUAACACGCAUAGAUUAUAUGCGUGUUACAAAUUACUGAAAAAAGGGAAAAGAUUAAAAAAAUGAUAAAAAUUAUUGGCAAUGCAUAUACCAAAAUAACUGGUUGUCUUAGGAUAAUAGAUUCUUGAUGUUUAUUAUCUUCUUUGCAUUUGUCUUUAUGUUUUCUUUCUAUAUUAAACUUACAUUACUUUUCUAAUCUGGAAAAAUAAAUCAUGCGAGCUAUUGGAGAGUAAACAAUUCAUUAAGCAUUUAACAUAAAAUGCCUAGCAUAAAACCUGGCUAAUAAUCAUUAAUAAAUAUUCAUUAAAAUGAACAGAAAUUUAAAAAAAACUAAAGACAUGUUAAUGUGUGUACAUACAUAAACAAACAUACAUACACACAGGUGUUCUCCCAAAUUAGUCAACAAUAUGUAACAAAGUUUCAACUGUUCAAGUAAAGAAUAUUGGAAUGAAUACAAACCUAUUUUGCAGUUGUCAAUAAAGUAAAAAUCUUCAUCUUUUGUGGGCAGAAGGACUAAAAAUUAUCUACUGAAAUAAAAGUGCUGUCCUACAGCCCUGGGAGAACAGCAAUGGAAAGUUUUUCUUUUUCCCCCUCCUCCUCUCCCAUCUUAUUCAACCACAGCUGGCCCCAGGGUAGAGCUGUGAAAACAGAGAAAGUAAAGAAACAAUACAACCUGGGUUACCAGUUGAUACUUUGUGAAUAAUUCAUUAAGAAGCUCACCUUUAAUAGUGCCUGGGAAGAGAGGAACACACUUCCCCUUUGGCUUUAUGUAUUAUCUUGCAGUUUACUCUCUGUUAGAGGAACUUGUAGAACCUGGGAUGGCUAAGGCCUAGGGCAGCAGGGACAGGUUUAAAGAUGCUAGGCAAAGUUGGGGGGUGGAGAAAGAUGCUACCCUCAGGUGGAGGUGGAAGUGAGGGCAGGUCUGGCUGUGCCCACUGUGAGAAGGCUUGAUGAUGGCACAGAGGGAACAUUUUCUGCAGGGAUUAGACUGAGUCAAAGCUUUGAGUGAGCAACUUUUCUACCUGAUCCGUCAGUCUCCUGCUGGGGUGCAAAGCACCAGCAGUGGAAAUAUGUUCAUCUGUAUUUUCUUGUUAAUACCAACCUUUAAUUAAAAAUUCUGCAGGAGGCCAAAAUACACUAAGAAACGGUGCCUAGUGUGCACGUCUUCCUCAAUGCCUGCUCCGUGUAAUAUUAUAACAUUUUUCCAUUCAAGUGCUCUAAUAUGUCCUUUUGGUAGCCUGUACAGUCAGAGGGCAUCACCAAAUACUUUUUCUCUAUUUCCCAGUAAGCCAUGUAAGGCAAAUAGUAAUAACCUCAUUUUGCAGAUGAGAGAUCAGGGCACAGAGAGUUUAAGCAACUAAUCCAAGUUCCCCAACUAAGUGAGGUCUGGAAAAUAAGCAGAGCCCAGCUCCCUUUAUUACCCCUACAGGAAUGUAGCUAAUAGUCCAUUUCAAUCCAGCAUUCAAACCAUUUUUAUUAUUAUCUAUGACUUUUCCUUUAAUUGAAUAGUCUGCAUAAUAACUAAGCCCUCAGUAAAAUAUGUAUUUAGCUUUAUAAACAUUAAAAAAAAUGAACCUUAACAAUUCAACAAUCUUUUCACCUAUCAAUAUCUGGUUUCUAAAAUUUCUAUUUUGCUGAAAUAGUUCAUGAUAUUGCUAUCAAUUACUGCUGGGUAUCAUGCCACAUAAAUAUUUAACAAUGCCAUUAAUUUCUGAAAGAGAACUUUGACAUUAGGUUUAAAUGGAUAAGAAAUUUUUUUUUUGCCAUAUUUUGCAUUGAUAUUAACUUGAGGUUCUUGGAUUGAAGCUUCACAUCUAUGAUUGAUUAGAUUUUGACAUGGCUCUUUAACAUUUCUGUUCACCUUUAAAUAUGGGCUUCCCUCCCCUUUUGUGCAGCACAUAAAAAUUGGAAUAUUCAAUUCUCUCAGACCAGCACCUGCUGACCAUCCGUCUGUUGGACUUCUUCCUUAAUGUCCUCCCUCCUGCUUGUUUUUUGAAUGCCUGGGAGAUUUCACUUUACAUUUGCUAAGACUGGUUCAUUAAAAUACUAAUUUUAAACUGUAAUUAUCUGUUGGUUCAUAUCAGUGGUUGAACCACAGUGGUGCUGAUAUCUUCUAACUGCAGGAGAAUUUCACAUCUGUUCUCAUCCCCUGGAGCCUCAAGCAAGAGUUACUGUGGUGCAGUUGGAAAGACGUGUAGAGAACUGUGUUUUAAGAAAAGCAGCAAAGACAGGAAGAAUUGUAAAUAUGGCAAAUCGAUUCAAUUGUAAAGCUGUUCAUGAUAAUACCUCCUAGGGGGAAAAAAAGCAAAAGCAAUCAAAUAGGAGCAUGCCAGGUAACUGUCCUGUUGUCAAUUUGGGAGAAUUUUAACUAUGCAAUUGCUAAUCUAAUUCCAGGAAAACUUGCAAUCUGCUGGCUCAAGUGGGUGGGAAGUCGGGUGGGGUGGGUGAUUUCUUGUUUUACGAUAAAGGUCAAUGAUAUCUUUAGGCUGGAGUGGCAUCAACCAGCUGAGGGAAUGCCCAUUGGUUGGCAGAAUGAAGUGCAGUUCUCAGAUUUAAGGUAUAAAUAAAUGAGAAAGGGGGAAAAAAAGGCAAACAAGAAAACAGAAAGGGUUCCAAAAAGGAACUAGGGAUAAAGAGAUUGGAAAAAAGAGAGCAAGGACGAAGGAAGACAUGUUCUGGAAAGGAGAAAGUAUAUUUUUCUGAGCAGCCAUUAUACCAGGUACUGAAGGAGGGAGGUUAAAAGGGAGCUAUGGAGAUAUUAUCCACAUUGUAUAGAUGAGGAGACUGAACUUGGAGAGAUCAGAUUCUGGAUGUGAGAAUUUGUGGAAGUUCACUGCAAAAUGUUUCAUUUCUAAAUAAAUACAUAUUUAUUCAUUCCACAUAUUUAGGGAGUUCUAGCUUUUGUUGGGAGCAGGGCAUGCAGUCUGCCUAUCAUAGGUUAGGAGAGGUGAAGGCACACUGUCAUUUACUCUGGUUUAAGGCAAAGGAGAUGUGCUGGAACUCUGGGCAAAUUCUCUGCCACCCAGAGGUCUCUUACCAUUUCCAGAGACUAUUCUUUAUUUUUUUAAUCCAUUAAAUCACAAGUUUUCAAUACUAUGAAUAUUUCAAUAAAACUGACACAAGUUACAUUAAAAAGGAUUAGAAAUCAUAAUCUAGAGUUUAUGUAUUAUUAUAUAACAUUAAAGUUAUAUUACAAUUAUAUAUUUAAAUUUUUACAGGUGUUCCACAUCUGGAAUGAUGGGAUAAGAUGAGUGACUAUAUUUUAUAAAAUUAUAAAAUUUUAGGUCUUAGCUUUCACAGAAUUUUAAAAUUGAUCCACAGCCUCAUGGUUAAUUAACUGCCCACCCACUAUCAGGAGCAACUAUGAAAAAUUCAAAAUUGGUUAGCUUCCCACCCUCCAUCCCUCACCUUACCAUAACCUGAAUAAAAUUAACCUGAAGAAAAAAGAAUUAGUGAUGGAAACAGAGUAACAAAUGAGGUCAGAGGGGCUGAUUAUUUAUUUGCUACAGUAUUCAGGGCUUCACAAAUAGUAAAAAAUGGUGUUGCCUUGUCUAUAUAUAAAAAGGAAACUGCCAGGCACUAACAAUGAAAAAGAAAAAGUAAAGAGAAACCUCUGAGCAGACAUAAGUGCUUUAACAAUGGCAAAGUAAGAGGAAAAUAGAGAAAGAAGUUUAGGAAAGAAGGAAAGGCAAAAAAAAUCUCUUCUGUUUUGAGUGUGGAAGGAGGUAAAGUAAGUUAGGGCAAAAUUAGGCUUAAUGAGUGGAAUGCUCUACUGGCAAAUUAAUUUGGAAAUAAUUUGAGAAAAAAAAUGUGCUUCAAUUUUUAUUUAUUUCUGCUGAAGAGAAUGGGCCUUAUACUCUCCCCUGUGUUAAAUAACACAUAUUUAGCCCAGGAACUUAAGAUAUAUAUAUAUAUAUAUAUAUAUAUAUAUAUAUAUAUAUAUAUAUAUAUAUAUAUAUAUAAAAUAUCUCCAGGACCCAGGGACUAGAUUGUUAAUAACUUAGCUAAUUGAGUAAAACCUAAUGCUUCUUGAAGCAGGGAAAUAAAAAUUCAAGAUUUCCUGUAGAUAUGGGAUGCAUAAUAUUUAAUGCUUCAGAGAUCAUUAGUAAAAGAAAAUAUUACAGCCAUACACACCCUCUGAGAGUCUAACUAAUGAACGUUUCCCAGCUGCUGUUGGAAAAUCAGCAGCAGCAUCAGUACCAAUUUCAAGACAAAGCACAGCUGACAGAUGUUUGAAGGGAUAAAUCAGGCUGUACGAGGAUUAAAAUAAUAAGUCCCUAGUGCCCUUUAAAGGCAGAGGUGCCACAACUAUUUCCACUCACUUGAGUACGACUGAGAGAUGGAUCCUGGGGAUCAUUAUUGAGAAACCUAGUAGGUGUCUGAGUGGUAUAUUACUAAAACCUAGCAUAGGUUUUAUCUUCAAUGAGUUUUAAGGACAACCUUUGUUGAUACCUCUUUGUUUCAAAGCAAACUCAGGGUUUCCAUUUUGGUUACAACAUUUGGGACAUGAUGCGACUAAAUGUGAACUGGGCAAUAUAACAACGACACUGAUUCUUUUAUUUUUUUUAAUGUACAUUUUAAUGAAUACUAAACCUGGUUAAGUAGCUCUUACAAAACAAAUUGUGGCAAACAACCUCCUAAUUGAGAAACAUAAAUUUAUCCAGAAUACAUUAGAUGUCUACCUAAUUCAUCCCUUAACAAGAGGGGUCGGGGAACAUGUUUUACAAUACAACUUGUUGGGGCUCAUUCCAAAUGUAUGGACACCCUGGGAGUCCCAGGCCCUUCCUUCACCACCUCUCUGGUUGUGACUUUAUUACAUCAUAUACUAAACUGCACUGUCAUGGUUUGAAUGCAUGCUUGUUACCCUUUUCUUACACAAAUUUGAAUGUGAGCUUAUUGAGGGCAAAAUCAGGAUCUAAGUCACCUUUAGUCUCUAAGAGUCUGAGAUAAUACCUGUGUUGCAGAAUGUUUAAUAAUGCUCUAGCAUUUUCUUAUGUGCAUGGAAUUUGCCUUAAAGUGUUCCUGACUAAAAAAAUUGUCCUCAGGCUAAAAUAUUCAAUUCUAGAAGAUAUGUAAGAAAUCACAGGAAAAGCAAUGACUGACAGACAAUCCAGGCUCUCUAACCCAUAAUAUGUCACUCUGGCUUCAUGUUAAAGUAAGUACUCCUUAAAGUAGAAUCCACAAACUGUUAGCAGUCCAACAUAAAUACUUCUGUAUUCAGAAACUUUUGUAGCUCUCUGACUUUGCAACACACACUGUUGUGGUUUUUGCACUUUACAAUAGUAUAGGAUUGGAAUUUUAAAAACAAGUAUUGGUCAUUUACACAGAUGUUUUAGGAAAUAAUUAUCCUAGAAAGUUUGUGCCACCUCAGACCAAUUAAAUAAGAAGGAGGAAGAUGUCUGGACAUCUCCAGGGUAUUUAGUUCCUUGGGGAAUUCUAAGGUGAUAUUGGCUGGUCCAGCACUGGUACUAACCAAUUGGAAUGGUAGUUGGUCAGCAUCCACCAAUCAGAAUGGAGACAGGCCAACCAGUACUACAGCACCAGCUCCAGCUGCAGGUCACCAUUUCAUGUCCAAGCCUCCCCAUGCUAUAAAUCCUUAAUGAAGAAGUCUGAGCUAUUUGGACAGGUGCAACCACAGUGAAAAGAAAGAUACUUUCCCUUUUCUAUGUAACUGUACUUGAAAGGGAUUCUAAAAUGGAAAAUCUGUGGGUAUUCAAUGGUCAGAAAGUAGAGUAAAACUCCAUUCUGGAAUUGAUAAAAGAUAUAGUGGGUGGGGCUCAAAUUGUCUCUCUCAAAAUGUGACAGCUAUAUAGAGUUGGACUGUUGUCUUGUUCCUCAAUAUGAAAAUAAAGGGAUGCCAGUACUAUUUAUUUCUAUACUCAGAGAGCUACAAUUACAGAUUUUAUUUCACAAGGUAGGACCUAUUAACAUUUUCCAUGCUUUUCAGGGUAAGCAGUGUUAAGCAUUAUCAACCUUAUAUAUCUAUUUUGAGAUUUGUAUCUCUCUGAAAUUCAUAUAAUAAAUCCUCACAUGGUGGAGAUGCUAAAUAUCCUUUUCCAGAAAAUAAUACUGAUAUUUUUCUUUUUGAUUUGAAGUAUGUAAUUAUACACACACACACACACACACAUAUAUCACAUUUCAGACAUCUUGAGACAAUAAAUAAUCAUUCUCUUUAGAAAGAAAAUAUGUUUUUAUAAGUUAAGAUGAAGCAAUGACAUUCAGGACUACCCUUAUUUUGGCAAUCUAAAAUUCAAGGAAUGUUUUCUGUCUAUGAAUUCCCUACAAUAGCUUGAAUUUGUUCCACAUCACCACUGCAAGUUGGCCAUCCCGUCCAUGUCUGAACAUGUCUAGUGACAGAGAGCUAACUACCUCCCAAGGGAGCCUAUUUCAUCUUUGAAUCCUCUAUUAAAAUCCAUACUUCUACUAACCUGAAAUUUGUCUGCCUGCAACUUUAUUUGAUGGUCCUAGUUCUCUCUUUCUGGAGUCCUACAAAAGCAGCACAGUGAUUCUUCCAUAUAAUAAACUUCAUACAUCUGUGAAUGUUUGCAUCGCUAAAUUAGCACUUCUCAGAACAAAUGCUGCCAUUUCCUUCAAUCAUAAACUACCCUUCAAUUCCCAUAACCAUUCUUGGGACUUCAGUCUUAUUGUGAUCUUGUUUCUUUAUAUUCCUUACAAAAAAUAUAAUACAAUUGGUUAAUUCCAGAAACAUUUCCUAAAACCUCGAACUGUAGGAGGGAUACAGAGUUGAAAAUUGGGAAUCCUGCUCUAUAGGAGUUUGUAAUCUAUUAUGUCAGAGUGGGGAAAAAUGUUUUAAGGGAAAAUGUUUAAAAAAAAUCUAGAUUAUGACUACCAUAAAGUAAUAAUGAAUAUUUAUUGAUAAUUUUCUCUGUGCUAUGGACUCUGUUAUCUCAUUUGAACCUUGCAACAGUCCCAUGGAGUAGAUGAUAUUAUUUUAUUAUUCAUAUUUUACAGGAGGAAACUGAGGCUUAAGGGAGUAAGUUGGCAAUGUCCGCAAGGAGUAGCAAAGCUAUGAUAGUCUAUAUUAAGAUGAUUCACUGUAGAAAAGUGAAAGUGUCCUUAAGCCUGAUAACCAACUGCCCAGAUUAACAAUCUCCUCCCUGGAUCUAGCUGAAGCCCUCAGCACACUGAAUGCUCAAGCUGUGGGGCUCUUCUCUAGCAUCCAUCUACUUCUUUUGAGAUUUAUCAGAGUUAAUUAUUUGUCUCCAUCCUAUUUAUAUCAGUUAUAUGUCACUUUGAUUAUGUAAUUUAAUAAAUUAUUACAUUACUGAUGAAAUAUGAAUGAGAAAAAAGUUGUAUUUAAAUAUCAAAAUUAAGUUGAAACCUUGGAGAAAACUGUUGCUUUUGAGUCUCUUUCAAAUUGUUAUUUAAACAAGUGAGAGGAAAAAAUUAUAAAAGGAAAAGAUAUAAAAUAAAAGAAAGAUUUGGACUGAUUAAAAAUGUUUUUAGGUGUCAUUCCAUUAAAAAAUGAAGAAGUAAUAGCUAGAAAUAUUAGAUGAUUCUUAAAGGAUGAGGCUUAUGAUAAAAAACCAAAACAACAACAACGAAAAACUUUAGUUACGGACCCCAUAGUGAGAGUGAUAACAAUCCAAGUAUGCAACCAAUCGAAAUACACAGCAAGCAAAUGAGAACAGAGGUCAGUCACAAAUCAGAUAUGGAAAUCAGAUAUGGCCAUAGUGCUGUGUAAGGCUUGAUCCUUCAUAAAAAGAUGUGUGAGGAAUCAACACUCAGAAUGUAACCUGAAAUGUUUAAUAUACCUUGAAUAUUUUUAUGAAUCACCUGUGGUCUGCUCUGGUGGGAUGCAAGUUUCUACUAUAUUCCAAGUUGGAGCGAGGGUCUGAAAUAUGGUUGACCUCAAAGAGCAUUCACUUGACAUCUGUGUAUACUGCCUGCAAAUGCUUUAUGCUAUCACUUUCCUCUUACUAAAUACCACAGUCUAUUAAUACAGUCGGGGUUGCAUAAGCAUUCUGGAAAGCUUAUGCACAUUUGGAAAGCUUUCGCCAUAUUGAUGAUUCACAACUUUAAUUUAUUUUCAACUAAAACUUUUCCAUACUUGCUAUCCAUAUAUCCUUUAUCCCAUGGUGGGGGUGUUCUUUUUGUAUCCAAGUGCCAGACCUUGAAAUUAUCCCUUUUAACUUUCUUCUUUCUGGAUCUUGCCCAUCAUUCUAGCCUGCUGAGAUCCUUUUGAAUCUUGUCAGCCAACAUAUCCCUUCUCUCUCUGAGCCUCAUGUCAUCAGCUAAUUUAAUAAGUAAGACUUGUGUCUGCCCUUUUAAAAUGUGACCUUGUCAGAAGGCUCCCUGGGCAGUCAAGCUGAUUGCUAUAGAUACUUCUUCCAUUUCUUUCUUGCUGGAGUAAUUUAUGAUGGCAGUCACAAAUCUGAGUGUCUCAAGAUGCCAGGGCUGUCUUCUCUUGAAAAGGCUUACACAUGAUUCUGUGUCAUUUUGUCGACAAUUGCAUUUAGCUUAAUACACAGGGCAUAUAAUAAUAAAUACAUUUAAAUUAGAGAAUUCCACUUUUUUUUCAACAAAGAAGUCCAAUCUGUAAAAAUAACAAUGAUAAUAAAAAACUGCUCUAUUUCCCCAAAUGUCAUACAUACUGACCACUUCACAACUGUCAAAAUCAGGAACCCAAAUUUAAGGGUAAAAUAAGCAUAGAUACACCAAGCAGUUUUAUAAAGUUUCCGACCAUAUAAUUGAGCCAGUAUUAUUUCUUUCAUCAAGAUUUGGAUAUUGUAAACAACUGUACUGAUUGCCUAAACCUAAAAAUAAUUUUAUUAAUGGAGGCAGAUGUAAUGAGGUUUGAUAUGCAAAUUAAUUCUGCAUUCACAGAAAAAUAUUAAAUCGGCCCAUUUAGCAAUUUGACUGGAAUUUGUUAAACAAAUUUCUAAGCAACUUCCUUUCCUUUCUGCAAUCUUACUGAAAACUUUUGAAAGACAAUAAAUGUCUUUUAGUUUUGAAUAGUCCACAUAGCAUUCCAGAAAUAGGCCCAAACUAAUGCGAGGUAUAGUGCUUAUUAUCCUUUGAACAUUGUUCUAAAUUAAAGAGACAAGUUGCCGAAAAGUUAACCACUGUGAACUGGAAAACCUCCAAUUAAGUAGCUGGAUUCCAGCCUUUCCUUGACUCAAAGGCUCGAGGACACUUAUCAAAGUUUGGGGAAAUCAAGACUGAACACAAGGGCUGCUUUGGACAACAAAACACUCUGAUUCACUCUCUCCAUGUUGACAAAAUAGACUGUGCCCACAAACCUAAACUGUGGCCACGCACACACAGACCAGUUUGAAACAAAAACAACGGAGCAUUUAAAUUUAGACCAAUUCUGACAGCAAAAUCUGUGUUGCCUGGCACACUACCAGAUGAGGAGCUCCAGAAACCGGCACUUCAAAUAUCCCCCUGGUCUAUGUGUGUAUUCUAGCAGCAGGGCCUGGCAGUGGAGCUAAUUCUAGCCAGCCAGGACACUGUUUAAGUCCUACAGGACUGAUUCUGAGUGCCUCUGGGGGAUUCUGGGUACAGCAGCUCCUUCAGUUUCUCAGGGCAACUGGGCAACUGCUCCAGGGAGGAGAGUAGAACCCUCAGCAAACCGUAGGCUCAGAGGACAAUUUUCUCUUUUACCCUUGACCCUAGAACAAACUUUGCAGCCUCUCCCUGGCUUUCUGGGUACUGGGGAUUAAAAUCAGGGGCCUUCUACCAUUAAGUUGCAUCUCCAGCCUUUUUAUUUUAUGUUUGAGACAGGAUCUUGCUAAAUUGCUGGGGCUGGCCUUGAACUUGUGAUCCCCCUGCCUAAGCCUCCAGAAUUGCUGGGAUACAAAUGUGAGCCACUGUACCUGGCUUCAUUCACUUCUUUUUUUUUUUUUUUUGGUGGUAGGGGGGGUAUAACUGGGGAUUGAAUUUAGGGGCACCCAACCACUGAACCACAUCCUCAGCCUUAUUUUGUAUUUUAUUUAGAGACAGGGUCUCACUGAGUCGCUUAGUGCCUUGCUUUUGCUGAGGCUGGCCUUGAACUCGCAAUCCUCUUGCCUCAGUCUUCUGAGUAAUGCAUAACCUCCCCCAUUAUCAACAUUUCCCCCCAGAAUGGUACAUUUAUUAUAACUGAUGAGCCUACAUUGACAUCAUUACCAUCCAAAGUCCAUGGUUUAUAUUAACAUUUACUCUCAAUGUCGUACAUUCUAGGGAUCUCAGCAAAUGUAUAACAACAUGUUUCCACCAUUAGGGUAUAAAGGAGAGGAGUUUCACCACCCUAAAAAUCUCCUCUGCUCCACCUGUGCACACAACCUGCUCCCUAACUCCUGGCAACCCCUGAACCUUUUAUUGUCUUUGUAAUUUUGCCUUUUCCAGAAUGUCACAUUGGAAUCAUACAAUAGGUAGCUUUUUAGAUUGACUUUUUUUCCCCUUUGUAAUAUGCCUUAAGAUUCUUCCAGGUCUUUUCAUUACUUGAUAGGGCAUUUCUUUUUAGCACUGAAUAAUUUUCCAUUAUCUGGAUAUGCAAUAGUUAUUUAUCCAUUCAGUUACCGAAGGACAUCUUGGAAGCUUCCAAUUUUUAACAGUUUUUAUUUGUAGAAUUCAGUGGCAUUAAUUAUAUUCACAAGUUGUGUAACCAUCUUUGCUGUUUUCCAAACUUUUCCAUCACAAACUCUUUUAGCCAUUAAGCAAUAGCUUCUUAUUACUCACAGCCCCUGGAAAUCUAAUUUCUGUCUCUGAGUUUGCUUAUUAUUGAUAUUCCAUAUAAGUAAAAUCACAUAAUAUUUGUCCUUUUGUUUCUGGAUUAUAUAAUUUAGCAUAAGGCUCCCAAGGUUUAUCAGUGCUGUGGAUAUAUCAUACUUCAUUCCCUUUCUUUGGCUGAAUAGCAUUCAUUUACAUGUAUACACCAUGUUUUAUUUAUCCAAUCAUCUGUUGAUGGAAACUUUGGCAGCAGUGAAUAAUGCCACAGUGAAGAUUGGUGCACAAAUAUCUAUUUGAGUCCCUGUUUUCAAUUCUUUUGGGUAUAUAUCCAGGAGAGGAAUUGUUGAGUCAUAUGGUAAUUCUAUGUUUAGUUUUUUAAGGAACUGCCAAACUUUUCCUAGUAUCUGAACCAUUUUACAUUCCCACCAACAACACACAAGAAUCCCAAACUCCAGCUUUUCUUGAGGCCCAAACAGAAUGAUUAGUUCAAAUGAGAAUUAGCUUGAACUUACCUGGCCUUUUGAAUAACCAGCAAUAUUUAUUUCACCCCAGUUCUCUAAGAUAAAUUUUAGUAUAAGCUAUUGUAAUUUACCAGUCUCAGAAGUAUAGUUCUCUAUUGGAGUUUCCCUCACUAAGAAUUUUGUUUCUAAGCCUUGGGUGUCCUUCUUCUAAUAGAAUCACAAUUUUCUUAUCUUCUGGUUCCUACUCUGAAGUAGUAGUCCAGGCCAUUAAGUUCUGAACUCACCUCAAUUAUCCAGGCUUAGCAUUUAUCUAGGCUGCAGCUUCACCUACCCACUUCCUCAGUAUUUGCCUGAACUUCUUGGCGUUUCUUGCUGAUAUCUUCCUUAUUCCUUAGUUAACAUUCUUCUUGCUGUCAUCAUCCUAGGACCAGGCCCCCCUUACUAAAAUAAGGUGAGACAUUCCUUUUGACCCUAACAUUGCACAAUACUGUCUUGCACUGGCACAAAAAUUAGAAAAUAAUUUAAAAAAGGCUAACCAUUAAUGGACAUUUAAUAGAAGUUUCCUUCCCAUUUUCCUUUAUGUACACCUUCCUUUCAUUCAUCCAUCUGCCAACAUCCUACUUGAGUCCAAAGUUAUUUCAUGACAACAGCUUCCAAGCUUAUGUCUUUGCUUCUAAAUUGUACUUCAGUACAAUUGUGUUGGCCGCCUAGUAUUUACAGUGCAGAUUAUUUUACUUAAUCCUGUUAGUUGUGAAGUUCCCAUUCAGUAUGAUUCAAAAGUCUGAUUCUAGAAGUUUUGACCUUUCUCCUACUAUUUAUCUCCCACUAUUUCCUAACAGAAGUCUCCUGUCUUGCACCUACCUACCCUUUGCAUCUGGCUCAUGACCUGGUCUUCUGCUUGCCAUUCACCAUGAUCCUUUGCUAACUAACAACCUUCUAUAUUUUACUCAAGGAUACAGUUUCCUUGAUGACUGUAGCCACAAGUGAAAUGUAUAUAUCCUCCUAAUCUCACAGAGAUUUUAAUAUUUGGCUCAUAUUUUGCUUGAUCUGAAAAGCAUUCACAAGCUUAUCAUGCAACUAGAGUGGCUGGAUGCCAAGUGGUCACAUAUCUGUCAUUCACCAAAAGUUAGGGUCUCAUCCUCAGUCUGGAAGACUGGGGAAACCUGACUUUGAACUACACAUUCUGAGUAUGAUUGACUCUCAGGGAUGAAUACACUUUACCUGAGGUGGUGGAACUAAUGGGUUUAUGUGUGCAUUACAGAAUGCCAUUAACUUAAUUAAUUUAUAAUGACAGGUAUACCUUACAUGAACUGAAGCAUGUAUAGUAUAUGAGUAGAAGAGCUUUUCCCCAAUGGACAGACUUACACUGGAGGCCAAUUUAUAAUGCAAAGAUCUAGUGAGUAGAAAAUCAAAAGAAACUGAUGGCUUGGUGAACCACAAUAAGGAUUCCUCUGUCAUAGAGGCUGACCUGCUCACAUCAUUUAAGCAACAAUUGUGCUCCAUAUCUGGACUUUGGAGUUCCCCCUUAUCUGGGCAUGGUCAUUGUGUUAGUCAGCUUUUCAUCCCUGUGACCCAGAUACCCUACAAGAACAACUUUGUGGAGAGGUUUAGUUUGGCUUACAGUUCCAGAGCUUUAGUCCGUGGAGGACUGACUACAUUGGGCCCAAUGUGAGGCAGCACAUCACGGUGGAAGGGUGUGGCAGAGAGGUGCUGCUCCAUUCAUGGUGACAAGGAUGCAGGGAUGGGGAGCCAUGCAGGAAAGAUGAAUUCUCCCAGGGCAUACCUCCAGUGACCCACCUCCUCCAGUCACAUGCCACCUUCCUACAGUUACCACCCAGUCAGUUCAUUCAAAUUAGAAGGGACUGACUAGAUCCCAGCUCUUAUAAUCUAAUUAUUCACCUCUGAAUAUUUCUUCAUGAACACAGGAGCUUUUGGGGGACACUGUCUAUCCAAACCAUAACAACCAUCUUCUGUUAACAUGCAGUCUUACAGUUUUUUACUUUCAACAGCCAACAAUACAUUCAACACGUUAUCCUCCACCUUGAGUCACUAAGGUGACUUUGGUACAGUUUUGCUUCCCCCAAAUCCUGCAGCAGCACACUGUUCUGGCUUAUGUCCAAACCAAAUUCAAACACUGAAAUAUGCCUAAGUGUACUUUCCCAUUUUAACUCUCUUCUUUUCAGAAGACAAAGUCUAUCUUCCCUUCUUUCCUAUGUUCUUGGGAAAUAAUUUACUGUUCUAUCAUGUGACCACAAACCCAAAGGCUUUCCUAAUCAAUACUCUGAAUAAAUUACCUCUAGUUUUUUUUUCGUUUUCCUCCCAGCUAUGUCUGCCAUUAGUGAUUGUCUUGAGAUAAUUUUAAAUGUUGGUUGUUUUCAAUGAAAAUGUUCUUGAUGGAAAAAAAAAAGAUAAAUCAGUUACACAAUUCUUACAAGCCAUAAAUAGUUGGCUAUCAAGUAAUAGUCUCUCUGCUAAAUCCAAGGGGGUUGUCUAUGGCAGAACACUGGACUGGGAGACCAUUUGGGAUCUGCUAAUUGGCUCUAUAUUCUUGGAGCUGUGACUGGGCUCUUUAUUACUGCCCUUCUGAUUUGGGUCUGACCUCCGUGGAUUCAAGCAGCAAGCCUCAAAAGUUACAGGUCAGCAUGCUGAAUGUACUUGCAUGUGUUGAUGACCCAAAUUAUCUGAAGAAAGAUCCUUAGACAUUGGGGGUGACAGAAGAGUCAUUUCCCUGGCUAACUUUAGAAGCUUCCAAAGGAAUGAAAACACAAAUGUCAAGAGGGUUUUGCCUUCCACUUUGCCUCAUGGUACCGGUCAUUCCAGGGUCCACUUAUUUCUUGGUUUUUAGUGAGAGAAAUGAAAUGAAUAGGAAAGAAGAGCAAAAGAAAUAUAAAAUCCUUUCUAAGACAGACAGCACCUAAACUAGAGUGCAGGUAUCUUUUUAAAAAAUUGCAAAACUGGUGCAUGCAAAAUCUCCAUUUGCCCAGGACCCCAAGAGAAUUUCAUCUCACAAUGUGUUCUGUGCUGGAGCCAUGUGCCCAGAUCAGUAGGAUGGGGAUAGGCUGUGGGCACAAGGGAGCCUUCCCAGACUUUUAUUUUGCACCAGGUCAUAGCCUACCCACCAGGGGAAUCCACUGUGUUUCUUAUCAAACCUUUUUGUUUUCAGUGUGAAUUACUGAACAAUCCUCUAGAUACUGAAUCUUAUCUCCUCGCAAGAUAAAUUUGAGUUUCAACCAGCAUAUUCCUAUUCAGUACCCCACUCUCAAAUAUGUAAAUAGAAAAAAAAACCACAGAAAAAUAAUAAAAACCAACCAGCCAACCAAAUUCCAGCUACAUUUAGUGAAACGAAACCUGGCAGAGAAACCAGUCGGAGGGCUUCUUUUUUUCCUUGUCAUUAUAAAAGGGUAGGAGCUUAAAUAUAUGUCCUAACACAUUAGAUGUACAGAGAACACUCAUUUGGGCCUCAAAAUUCAUGCUGGAAUACAUUGCAUUUUUUUUUCUGUGCCUGUCCCUCUCUCUUGCCACGUGCAUGCAUUUUUGCUGGGGCAAAAGGCACAUCAAAUCACUCCUCCAUGAUAUUUUAGUACUAUUGGUUCCCUGUUUUAACAUCUUUCACUUUUUAUUCAUUCAACAGUUAUUUAUCAGGUACAUGCACUGAUUUGGGAGGACAUGCCGAUGCUGGACAUGUUCUCAUUCAGGAUAUCUUCACGUCACCCUUCUCAUAUAAACACAAGGCCUCCCCUUUCCCAGCACCUUAGGAAGCACCCACCUUGGAGGCUUUUGAAGAUACAUAGCAGGGGAUUGUAUUCUUGUAACACAGAAUCAGGAAGCAGGCUAUGCUUACCUUCUCCAAAACUGGAAAUAACAUACUUUUCUGCUACUGUCCUGAUUAAAAAAAUAAGGGUGAGAAACUCAAGAACCAAGUUCACCUUCUGGGAUAAUGAAGUUGAUUCAAUUGAACUACCUGCUUCUACUCUAUCUUCCCGUCAGGUUUCCUAUUUAUUUCAACAGAUUUACACACACACGCGCGCGCGCACCCACGCACACACACACACACACACACACAUACAAGAACAAAAGCCCAGCAUCUAAAAGAAAUUAGGCAAUGUACUAAAACGAUCUGAAUUCAUUCCACAUAUUAAAACAUCUAAAAGUAUACAUAUGUGUGUAUGUAUAUAUUUAUGUCUAUCAAAUUGAUGUCCUUUAGCUUUAGGUCUGUGACUUCUUUAUCCAGAAAAAUAGAAAACUGGAGAAGGCAUUACAUAUAUACCACAGAGCCAGUAAACCUACUCGUAAAGUUGUUAAAAGGCUUAUUAGUACAAUUUACUCACACUUUUUAAUGAAAAUCUGUAAAACAUUAUGGCCAAACAAAUUAGAGAAGUUAGAAAAGGGAUGUUGGACUAAUACAGAAGACACAAGAGAGGGUUAUUUUCACUAUAUUAAGAUGAUAGCUGACUGAUUCCAGUUCAUCCUAAUUUACCAAAUUCUUUCCUUCUAUGAUCAUUUACUUUUGAUAUAAUCACUCAUGGCUUCCCAGUACAUAGCUAAAAAUAUUUCAUAAAGAUAACUGCUUCCAGCAAUAUGCUAGACCAGGUGUUGUUCUGCAGGACUCAUCUGCUGUGGUAAGUUCCUAGUUCGAGCAUGCUUUUUGAUGAUCAUAAAAAAACAGAACUAGGACUAUCCAGAACCAGGACUAGUUGGCAAAUGAUAGGGGGCAGGUGCAGGGUUGCCUUGAAGUCUUAUGCCUAUGUUGACACAGUAAAUUAGAUACUGAACUAUGGGCAACACAGACAAGCUGAGCCUUGAGAUUAUCCAAAGGGCAGAAUGGUCCCCUGUUGAUGGAGACACUUGAUUCAGAGCAUAAAUAGAUACAAAUACUCUUGAGCAAAGCAUUCCCUUAGACCCCCACAGAAGAACAAACAAAAAAUGCACAAAGAUCACUAGGUACAACUGGAAACAAGCUCCAAAGGUAAGAGUCAGAGGGAAUAACAAGGAACACAUUUGUCCCUCAAAGACUGCAGAAAUUGGAACUGUCAGAUACAGAAUAUCUACUUAGUUAUGUGUGAUCAAUGUAAAGAAACGACAUAAGGAUAAAAAAAUAAAAAACAAGAAAGAAACAGGGAAUUAUUAGAUAUGACCAUGUAGACUUGUAAAAGAAUCAAACAAAAACUCUAAAAAUGAAAUAAAUAUAUUUGGAAUAAAAAAGGCAAAAGUGCCAGUUGGAUACAGAUAGAAUUAGUAACAAGAGAGAUCUGAAGAAAAUAUCAUUAGCAUAGAAAGACAUGAGGAUGGAAAACAGGAAAGAAAAGUUUAAAAAUAUGAAGUGAAUGUGGGGUUCUAGCAUAUGUCUAAUGAGAAUCUCAGAAAGAGAAUAGAGAGGGUGGAAGACAAGAAACAAGUUAAAGGGGUAAGGCUUGAGAAUUUUUGGGAACUGAUUAUAAUGAGAUGAGUUUCCAGGUAAUAAUAACCCAAUGAGAAUGAGCAAAACAAUUCCGUGUGUAGGUGUCUGAAUGAAAUUCCUGAACACCAACGACAAAGAGGAGAUAUAAAAUCUGGAAGUAAAAUUUAAAGCAUAAUAAGAAUUACUCAUCAGUAAGGUGACACUGAUGUUCUGAUAGUUGUAGGUACACUCACCCAAACAUGCUGAAAAGAAUUGUGUUUCAUGGUAAGUUCACUAUCGUCACUUUGUUACUUUACUUUAGUACCCAUCUAUUUAUUAAAAUUGACCACAAGGUAAGAGCUGGCAUCUGCUCUUAUCUUUUAAAUGCAAUUAGAAUUUGAUUUUUUUUUUUAUUUCCACUCAAUUUUAAAACGAGCAGAAAUUAUUUUAUUCUGGACACAAUGGAUUUCAGUUCUUCAGAGCAGGUGUUUUCAACCCUGGCUACAACUUAGAAUUACUCAGGUGAAGGGGGGGGGGGGCGUUUAUAAAACACCAGUGCUUGGGCCCUUCUCUAGAGAUUUAAUAUGGUUGUAUGCAAAGCAGGAAAAAUGAGAGUCCAUAUUCAUCACUUUUUAAAGAUAUAUGAAAUAAAAUAUAACAAACAUGAUAGUGCCAUAGCAGGAUUAAUUACAGCAAGUGAUCACACUCAUAGGGUUGGUUGUUAACAAGACACUUUCUCCCCUGAAUCAGGGGGCAGAAGGCAGGUAUGUGACAGGCAUCCCCACAGUGGGCAAAGGGGGAUCGUAUUCUGGCAGCAGAAGUCUUUCCUGCUCCUACAAAUGGAGAGUCACUUUCUUUCUAUUUCCUUCACUUUCUGAAUUGAGAUCAGGAGUCACAGUAAUCUCCAUUUCUUUGCUCUGGGGGUUCAGUGCAUUUUCUAGGACCUCUUCCUGCUCCCAUCAGCCACCUAUUCUUUAAAGAAGAGGUGAUGAACUUCACAGCAAGGCCCAAAACUGUCCACAUCAGCUGUCAGUCACCUUUGCAUUUGGGGUGGGGUAAGGGCAAGGAAGUAGUUGGAGUGUGUGUUUCACAGUGGGUUCCUAACUUGAUACCUCAAUAUUCCUUGAUAUAAUAAUAAGAACUAACACUCCUUAACUUAUAUCUUGGUGAUUGCCUAAUAAUCUGCUUUUGCCUUUAUUCUUGCUAAUUUGUGUGUGGAGUUCCUUGGGAAGAUGUCUUGAGAAGAGCUGCUUCUAUCUCUGACAGUUUUCUUGUACUGCUUUCCCUCUCCAAAUUUCUUUACAUUUUUUACGCAAUUGCUAGCUCUCCUUUUUUUUAAAUAGUGAUAUUACUUUGCAUUUUUAUAUGGAUUUAUCUUUUAAAUUAUCUCAAUGAGACCAUGAGGGAUGGAAGAUAGGUGGGUGUUAUGGACUGUAUAUUUAUGUCCCUGUAAAAUUUAUUAGGUUGAAGCCCUAACUCCUAAUGAGAUGGUAUAAGAAGAUGAAGCCCUUGGGAGGUAACUAAGUUUAGGUGAUAUCAGGAAGUUGGGGUCCUGUGUAUAAAUUAGUGUUGUAAGAAAGGGAAGACUAGGACUUACUCUGUCUACCACGUGAGGAUUCUUCCAGAAGAUGACUGUAUGCAAAGCAGGAAAAAAAUGGCCUCAUAAGACAUUAGACAUGCCUGCGUCCUGAUCUUGGUCUUCCCAGAUCAGGGAAAUAAACAUUUGAGAAAUAAAUAUCUGUAGUUUAAACCACUUCUUUCUGCAGCAGACUGAGAGGGCUUAAAGGUAUCCCUUAGUUAUCCUGAACAGCUCCAGUGCAAAUGCAGAUAUUUUUCCAGUUCCACCAAAUUAACCAGCAUAGGUACAAUCCCUGCAAGAGGACACAGUAAAAAGUAGUACAACACCGUGGAGGAAACACUGGACUCAAAGUUUUGAAAUGACAAUCUGGUAUACACUCUCGAAUCAACAUUUUAUGUAACCAUGAUCACCCAUCUCUCCUGGGAUUUUUUUUCCUCAUGUUUAACGUGAAAAGGCAAUUUAUUGAUAUUUGUCAAAAUUAAAAACACAUUUAGCUUUUGAGUAUACAAUCUCUCCCUUGAGAAUUUAUUUUGUAGAUAUAACUGCACAUGUGUGAAUUGAUAGAUUAAUGGUAUUAUUUAUUGAGGUACUUCCCUAAUAUUGAAAGUAUUUAAGUGUGCAAAUCAACAGAGAAAUAGUUAAAUAACCAUAGUGCAUCCACACAAUUGAGUAUAUGAAUCUUUAAAAAAGGAGGGGCUUUACAAAUAAUGAUAAGAAAAAUCUGUAGAACAUAUUAUAUUAGAUUAAAAAAACCAAGGUGAACAAGAAUGCAUACAACCAUACACCUGCCCCAUGACCCAAAAGUGGCAUGCCUAGGUCUUCACCUCACACGAGAAUCACCUGCAGGUGGCAGAGUACCUCAAGACAACCUACAGGAUUUUUAAAUAUAAUCAGACAGCAGAAGAUCAACAGAAGUGUGAGGAAAUAAGUGGAUCAAAAAUAACCCUAGAAAUCUUAAAUAUUAUCCUUAGAAAAAUUAGCAAGGUUACUGUACCUAUACAACACACCAAGAAAGAUUUUUUUUCUGGAAAUUAAAAAAGUCAAUGGUCUACCACCUAUUAUACUAGAGUUAAAAACUAAGCUAUUGAUUGGAAACUUAACCAAGAAAUUCCAAUUACCCCAAAGGAAAAAAAAAAUCAACCAAAAAGACAUAUGAAAUACAAAAAGAAAGUUUAGAAAUAUAAAGAGUAGGUCCAUGAGGCUCAACAGUUGAGUCCAGUGAAGAUCCAAGAGACAAAAAAUGAAUAGAAAAGAGCAAGGAGAAAAGGGAAAUAAGAAAAGGAGAGGAAACAAUGGUGAAAUAAAAAGACCUUAGGCUGAAGAAAAAUAAAACCCUUCAUACUGAAAUCAUCAUCAAAGAUAUGUGAGGUAGAUGGAAAAAAGACUCCAAACUUAAACAUGUUCUGUUAACAUCUGUGGAAAGAAAAUUUUUAAAAAUUUUUAAAGAGAGAAAAAAUGAGAUAAUCAAUAAAGGAAGGAAAAAGAGAUAAACAGCAGAUGCCUCUGAGUGCAAGAGAACCCUGGAACCCAAGGGACAAUGAGAAAAUAACUCACUGGGGUAAAGACUUUGCACUCAAAAUUCCUUAUUUAAAUUAGUUUUUAUGUAGCAUUUCCAGUCACAGAAAUUUUCAUAAAGUUUGUCUCUUCCAUGCAUUCUCCAAAAGCAAACAACAGAACAAAAAGCUUGUAUAUUAUAAAUACAUAAAAAAAUCAUAGCCACAAGAAUAUCAAGGAAUAUGAUUUAAGGAAAGAAAACUCAAAAAGAAAUUAAAAGAGAAACCCCCCCAAAAUAAAUAAAUAAAUAAAAGAGAAACCCCCCACUUGGACCUCUGUGCUUGGGGAAUUGUUCUUUGAUUGGCUAGAGAUUAAUAUCUGAACAUUAUAUUUCUUUCUUUAUAAAUUCAAUAGCAUAACUUGGUUCUUUAGCAAAUAUUAAUAAAAGCACAAUUCCAUUAAUGCCUUUUAAGUUUGUUUUAACGCUUGAAUUAACCUAUGAACUAAACAUGGAAUACAUAAUUACAGUCACAGAACAAAACAGCAGAUGGAGGGAAGUAGAGGAGAUGCAGUCUAAACUAAACUAGUUAGACUGCAUAGUUCCUAAAUCAGCAAGUCGAUAGCUGUUCUCUAAAAUUGAAAGAGAAAAAAAAAUAAAAAGAGGAAAAUGUAAUUUAAGAUAUAAUACAUAACACAGAAACUUUUACAUUUUUUCUUCUGGAGCAAAUUAGGGAUACAGUAUAAGAUCACCCAGCUUUUACUUUUUGAUCCUUCUAUAUGAUUUGACUCUAAAAAGUAUAUUAAAGGCUUCUCUUAUCAAUAAAGGAUUACUCAGAUAAAUUGAAGCAGAACCAUAUAAGAAUAUAAUACAUAGUGCUUGGAAAGAACAAGAUAUGUGUAUAGAUAGAUAUUUUGUGGAAGGCUGUCCCCAUAAAUGUUAAUAUAAAUAAUGAAAUUUACAAAAUAGUAUAACAUCAUUCCCGUUAAGUAAAAAAAAAAAAAAAACAAAAAACAAACAAACAAACAAAAAAAACUCUAGAUGUCUGAGUGCCUGUGUAUAUGUUAAUCAUAUAAAAAUAUCUGGGAAGAGAAACAGUGUACUGGAAAUUUGAAUCUUUCAAAAUUUUCUUGGAAUACAUGAGAUAUGCAUUAUUACUGUAAUAAAAAGGAAGGAGUCCUUAAAUAUGUAUUUCUAAAACUUCUGGACUGUUUUAAUGUGCAUUAUGUAAACAUUACUUUAAAAAAUAAGUCCUAAACUUUUAAAAUUGUAAAUGUACUAUGUUAUAUAACAUCAGAAAAACUCCAUAAGUAUAUAGACAUAUAGUGUUAUUUUCUUACUUUAUUCAUUUAAGACUUUGAAUGAUUUAGUUGGUUAUUAAAAGAUGAACUUCUUGUGCAUGUAGACAAAUAGUGCCAUAUUACUUAUUAAAUAAACUCUAUUUCUUAUGGAAUGGAAACGCUCUCAUUAUUAUACAGUAACUUCUCACAUGUACCUCUAUAUGUUUGUUGGGUUGAUUCUAUUCCACUCUUUUGUUUGCUUUUUUUGUGUGUGCAAAUACCAUUUUUUUAUUGCAUUAGCUUUAAAGUAAAUUCCAAUGUCUGAUAUUCCAUGUUCCACCUCAUUAUUUCUCCUCCUUCAUAUAUUCUUGGGAAUUCUUAUAUUUAUUUUUCUAUAUGAACUUUCAAAUCAUUCAGCCCAUCAGAAAAUAUGAAUCUUUCAAAGUUUUCUUGGAAUACAUGAGACAUGCAUUAUUACUGUAAUAAAAAUAUUAAAAGAAUAAAAAAGCCAGCAUGGUUAGAUCAACAGAAGUCAAUUACCUCCACUGGAAGGACAACCCAAAGCCAGUUUCCUAUUGAUGGCAUGAAGAACAGAAGCUACAAGUGCUUUUCUCAGUGACAGAAAAUAAGUAUGCUUAUAAAUCGCCUCCCUGCAACAAAACAAGGGUGCUCAUGGCCUGCUGUGCUUACGGACUAGGUCUCAUGGCACACUGAAUAAGCAAACACUAGCGAAGCUCAGGCACUGCUUAGACAGCCUUGAAGGAGUGGUGAAGAGCAAGAUCAUUUGGCUAAGAGGGAGGGCUCACUGUCCCAUGAUGGUUAUGUGAUAAACACAAUUCCCAGUCAUAUUCUUUUUCACAGACAAUAAACUAAUAUAACUGCAAAAUUGAUGGCCCAGGCCAUUGAGGCAUGCAGCUGACAAGAGAAAGCAAAGGCUCUGCCAGUGACAAGCUUGUGGCUCUCAGGAGGAGGUGGAAUCCUCUAGGCAGAUGGUGGCAUGCACCAUAGGAGGGCAGGCACUCAUACUGUGGCAAGAAAAUGCAGCUCAGAACCCUGCUCUCCCAAUUUCAAGCUAUGGGAUUGUGUGCUCUGUGAGCUUCAUUCAGCUCCUUUACAUAUGAAACAUGGACAAGAAUGCUUUUGAGGAGGAUUAUGUGGUGAUUAUCCAAUAAUGUCUAAAACACCCCAAACAAUGCUCAACAUAUCGCAGGCUCUCAAGCAGUGCUAGAUAUUAAUGACAACCAGAAAUGCACAACAGAUGGAAAUAGUGCAGAGAACAUAGGUUUUUUUUUUUUUUAGAGUGUCUGGAGUUUUUUUUUAAUGCAAAAUUGAAGGAUAUCUACUAAACUUUAUUAAAUCAUUUCAUAUUGUGAAAUUAAAAGUUUCCAGGCAGAGAAAGCUGGGCGGAAGGCUGAGAGGUGAACAAGAAUUCAGUUAGAAAGGAUGUUGUAUGCCAGGUCAAGGAACUGUGCUUUUGUUUUGUUUGCAGUUUUAAAAAACAGGGGCAGGGGCAUAAAAUAAUAAGAUUCAUGUUUUAUAAAGACUCUCCUGGUAAUAGUACAGAAAAUAUACUGAAGGCAUUUAAAGGUAGGGUUGUGUAUUAAUACAGCAUGCAGGAAGACUAUUUUAUUUCAAAAGAAUCACUAUUUUUUUCCUGAGUCACAAUGGGAGAGAGAUGAUGUGUGCAAGGAAAAAAAACUAAUAAAAAAAGAGCAUGUUUAAUACUUGCAGAGGUGACACAAACUAUGGGAGUUAAGGAAUCCCUUGUUAGGCUCACUCUUGCUCUCUGCUCUCUCCCAGCAAACCUGAGACUGAUAAAGGCUUAAACUUCCCCAGGCUGAGUAACCUUGUCAGCAAGUGGAUAAUGCCUGUAGGUUUGCAGGAUUUAGAUGCAGCAGGUAGAUAUGAAAGUGCAGUGUGCUUUGAGUAUUCUGUCUUUAUUGAAUUUGCAGACCUACAAUAGCAAUGGAUGGAGCAUGGCUAUUUUUGCUUCAAAGUCAGCUGCUGGAUUUAGCAGAAAGAGCAGAGGCUGCAGAGACAGCCAGACUGGGGGAUGAAUUCGAGGUGCAACACGUAGAUUAGAGGUAAGUAAAUUAAUUUCUCCCAGAAAGUUAAUCUCAUUUGUUAGUGUCUCUUUCAUGAAAUUCCCAUAGUAGUGGAAGUAGACAAAACAAAAAUAUAUGAAAGUUGGGGCUGGGAUUGUGGCUCACCAGGACCCUGGUUCAAUUCUCAGUACCACAUUAAAAUAAAGGGAUUGUGUUGUGUCCAUCUGCAACAAAAAAGAUUCAUUCUCUCUCUCUCUCUCUCUCUCUCUCAAAAAAAAAAAAAAUGAAAGUUGGUAUAUAUAGUGAACAACAGAGUGAGCCAGAGGAUGAGAGAGGAUCUGAGAAUGAAGUUUUAUUUAAGAUGGUCAAGGAAGGCAUCUUUGAUAAGGUCCUAUUUGAGGAUGCGCUUACAGAAAAUAAGUUUUGAGAGAAUUCCAGGUCUAGCAACCAGCAAGUGCAAAGGACUUGAGGCAGAAGAGUUGGACUUGGGAAAAGGAACAGCAAGUAAGUAUGUGUAGUUGGAGUGGCACCAGUUAGUAAAAAAUGGCAGAGAAGAGCCCAAGGAAGGGGCACAGGGCAGACCAUGUGCAGGCAGCAUGGAAACUUACCCAGCAAGCAUGGGCUGACAUCCAGGCCAGAAUCUCCUGGACUAACCAGAAGGAUAGGCAGUCACUCAGCAGAGCAGAGGCACCAUCUGACUUAUUUGAGAAUCACUUGGACUACAGUGUUAAGUGCAGACUGCAAGACGCAUCGGAAGAGAUCAUUCUAAUCUUUAGGAGAUGCUAGAAAGUCCAGUUGAGCAUUGAAGGCCUAGUCUAGGCUAACAGGUAGGAAUGUUAUAGUGUGGUCACAUUCUGGAUAGAUUUAGAAGGUGGUGCUGCCAUGAUUUAAUGGUGAAUGGCCAAGGAAUGAUCUACAGCUAAAAGAAUUCUUGCUCAUCUUCCAAGAAUAAAACAAAGUAGACAAGGUUCCUGUAACUGCUCAAAAAUAUUAGUUCCUAUUAUUCCUUCUGUGUUAGUCAGCUUUUUUUCUCAUUGGGAACAAAGUCCCCAGCAAGUUAAACUCAGAGAAGAAAAAGUUUAUUUGAGGCUCAUAGUUUCAGAGGUUUAGUCCAUGGCUGACUGACUCCUUUGCUCUGGGCCAGAGGCGAGGGAGAACAUCAUGGCGGAAGGGCAGUGGCAGAGGAAAAUUAUCAACUCAUGGCAACUGGGGAAAAGCAGAGCAGGGAGGGAGGUGGCCACAGAGAAUAUGCAACCUACCAGAGCAUGCCUCUCUCUAGUGACCCACCUCCCCCCAGCCAUGCUCCAGCUGCCCAUACCAGCCAGUCAGUCCAUUCAAACUAGGAUGCACUGAUUUGGUUACAGCUCUCACAAUGCAAUCAUUUCACCUCUGAAUAUUCCUGCACUGACACAGGAGUGUUUUGGGGACAUCUCAAAUAUGCAAACCAUAACACCUUCCCUUGAAGUUCUUUGGCUUCAGGAGCUCCAGGCCUCUGCAGCAGCUUGGCCUGUGCAGAACCCGGUCGAGGGUGGCACCAGGGCUUUUUCAGCCCCCUGGAUCUUCCACCACUUGUUUUCUAGGUGAACCAAAAUGAAAAGAUUAAGCACCACAUCAUUUUAUAUGUGUCACCAAGGCAGGCAGAGGCAAGAAGAGCUGCUUGAGAUAAGGUAUUUUCUUUCCUAAAACAAAACUCCGGAGAUUCAUUGUAGGGUUUCACAUUAAAGCAAAGUGAAGCAGCACAAGUAGGCAGGCAAGCAAACUGUGUUUCUCAAAGCUCAAAGCCUUUAUCCAAGUAGCUUUAAUGAAGCUUUAAAAAGCAACAACCAACAGUGGCAGAAGAUUUAGUUCCAGAAGGGAGCAAUAAAAAAUGAAAUUCAUUGAAGAUUAGAAAUAUUGGAAAACUAGUGGAAAAAAUCAUGGUUAAGUGUGCUUAUCAGAUUACUGGGAAUCUGAGGAAAGAAUCAACCCAUUCGGCUCAAACCCCAUCCCUGAAAUCUAAUUUUCACAUUAAACCAACCGAUUGGGGAGCAGCCUUGGUUUUGCUAGUAUUCUGCUUUUGCAAGAUGGAUUUAUACAUAAAAUGCUGGACCUUGCCCUUUCCUAGUGUAGGCCACCCACAGGGCCCUCAGGAUUUCAUUAUAGAGAGAAACUAAUGUCUACUGUGCCUCUGCCUCCUGUCAUCCUCGGUACUCAAGCUUAAUUCUCACAGUACCCUGUAGGUUGAGUGUUACUUUUUCCACUCAUCAAAGGUGGUACUGGAGACUAAGUGAAGCUGUCACAUCAUGAAGCUGGGAUGUGACUGUGCAGAGCCCAAGGCUUCUCCUCUCUGGCCACAGCUGUCCUUCCUCCCAGAACUAUCACUGACUGGUAUUUUACAUGCUCUGAACCCUGAUUAUUUCACCAUUAUGCUUAAACCAUCCAUUUCAUGAUUUUUUUUUUCUAACACUUUCAUUAGGAACAGUUUAGGCAAACAUAACAUCUUGUCAACUUCAGGGAGAGUGGCCUCCACUUAGCCUGACUCUACUCCCCACUGAUCCUUGUCACAUCCUCAGAAUCUGCAGUGUGGGAUGAGGACACAAGAAGCAAUGAAGUAAAGUCAGAUCUAACUUCAGGGCACCAGUGCUGUCAAAGGGAUGAUUUUGUGUGCCUGUGUGUGUAUGUGUGUGUCCAUGUUUGCAAAGGUCAUAGGGGAGCCUAUAUCCCUCUGUGGGGCAGGGCUCAACGAAUCAUUCAUUGUUGACUACUGGAUCCUUCUCCCUUCAUCCUAACCAUUUCACCCCUUGAAUUAGUCAUUAUCAUUUCUAUCUUUAAGAAAAGCAGAGGCUCAUGGGGUGGUAGGGACACUGACUAACUCAUGGUCAUUUAGCACUGCUUCAGUGCUGAAGUGAUUCAGUGAAAUGGUGAAACACACCAGUCACAAUUAUGUGUGUGACUUGUGUGUGUUUUCUUGUCUGAGCUGGUCUAUUAGUCACUCAAGAGGAAUGUCAUUAUUAAUUAAUUAAUUAGCUAAUUAAUUAAACGAGAGCAAUGGAGUGCCUAUUAUGCAGCAGGCAUCAUGUGACCUGCUCUUUGAAAGCAGCCUUCAAAAACAGCAUCACACACAGUUGGCAAUCCAUCUGCAAAUGGAAGAGACCCGACCAGUGGCAGCCGCUGCUGAGGCUGAGCUGUCCCUUUUUCUCCUUCUUCACAAUUAUGGAUGACUCAUUAUUUUCUGUGUUAACAAAUGAGAGCUGUGAGAAAGACAAGCUAAGACGCAAUAUGAUUAAAGUACAUUUAAUAUUCUCUUGAAAAACAGUGUGAAAUGUAAGGAUGAAUUAUGUCUGCUCCAUAGCAAAAGAGUUGAGAGGCCUGUUGAUUAGGAGAAUAUUUCAUCCUACUAUUUUAAACCUCUGCAAGUUUUCAAAUGCACAGUUAUUGAGGUAACUUGCUACAAAUAUUUACAAAGUAGCUGAUGUUUAAAUUUUUCAUCUGAUACUUUGGUGUUGAAGGGACACUGAGCCAGCAUCCCAAAAUAGAUAAGAUAAACUCAAAUAUUUACCUAUCCUCUGAACCCGAUUUUUCUUUAUGUUGCAUUUCACUCAUGUUUAUCCCAAUCUGGGAUAGAUGUAAGCUCCUUGGGGUAGGAUGGAGAAAGGAGAUGAAUCUGCAGAGUUUAAUUUCUUACUUGAUACAGGGUUCUGAUUCAAUAAUGAUUAUUGAGCUGAAUUCAAUCAUUAAUAGUUACUAAGGUCAUGACUUUUAGGUAAAGUUCAUAAAAACUUUUUUUCAGAGGUAGCUUUAAUUCAAGAUUGGGCAAAAGAAUAUUAUAGGAUACAUUAUAUAAUACCUGGCACUGUAGAGAAAAUGUUUUUAUACUCUUGAAUUAAUCCCAUACUUGUCUCAUCAUAUAUGUAUAUAGUUGUUUUUCAUAUUUCAAAGUGAUCGUCUAACAAUGAAUUGUAUUUCCCAGCUUCAAUGAUCAGUGGCUUUUCUCUGACAGCCUCUCUAUGCUAUUUUAUUCUCUUGCAUAAAAAACUCAUUUACUGUGUGUAAAGAGUUUUCAAAUGUGCAGUAAGAAGUAUUUCCAUUCUUCCAGGAUGCCUGCUUCUAGUAUUUAUUGUCAUUCACAUUAUCUCCAUUUAUAUUCUUGUUUCAGGAUGUAUGAAUUUGUUUCAUCUCAGCUGCAAUUUCCUGACAAUAUCUUGAUAUUCUAGGCGUCUGCAUAUUGACUUUAUCUCUUCAGCAGCAUAAUACCUACCAAAGUAUGGCCAACUUAAAGUUUAAUUAACAUAAUGUUGAUUUAUUUCCUCAGAGAUUAUUAACCAAGAUGUAGAAACUGUGUUACAAAAUUGGACCAUUACUAUACUACUGUAAUUUCCUUAGGAUUUCUAGAGAUUAAAAAUAUUCAAUCUACAGUGAAUUAAAUUGCUUUAUUUGUAUCCUUUUCAAGAAGUCAAGAGAAGAAAAAACACAUACAUCUCUUCCAUAGCACCAAAGACCAACUUUUACUGGGUAAGUCACAGAUUCAUAUGUGUCUUUUAAUAGCCAUUUUUUAGAGCAUUUUUAAGUUUACAGCAAAAUUAAGCAGCAAGUACAGAGAUUUCCUACAGGCAAUGAACAGAUGAAGAACCAAUGGAAACGUGUUCAAAAAUUCCUGUGUUAGCUAACAGGCUUCUGGGUGUAUUGCUGUGGUCCACAGAGAAGGCUGGAGAAGGUGCAAGGAGACACUGUAUCAGCUACUACAGCCUUAGAACAAAAUCUGUCCUUUUAAAACAAAAUUGGGUCUGGACUUCAAAACUGUUCCUAUGCAGCUUAUUUUACUUUUGUUUAAUUAAGUAAACAAGAGGGUUUUUUUUUUUCCCUGGGUAGGGUGUAGUAGAUUUCCUAUAUAUCCCCUAGCCCUGCAUGUGCAUAAUCUUUUCCAUUAUCAAUGUCCCCCACCAGACUGGUACAUUUGUAACAAUCAAUAAAUCUACACUGACAUAUGACUACCCAAAGCCAUAGUUUACAUUAAUUUUCACCAUUAUACAUUUUCUGGGUUUUGGACAAAUGUUUAGUGCCAUGUACUCAUCUUUGUGGUAUUGUACAGAAUCGUUUCACGGCCCUAAAAAUCCUCUAUGAUCUACCUGUUCAUUAAUGCCUCCCUUCCAACUCCUGGAAACCACUGAUCUUUAAACCUGCUUUUCACAGAAUAUCAUAUAGGAGGGAUCAUACAGUAGAGAGCCUUUUCAGAAUGGCUUUUUUGUCAGUCAUGUGCAUUUAAGUCUAUUCCAUGUCUUUUCAUAGCUUGAUAGCUCAUUGGUUUUAGCACUGAAUAAUAAACUCUCCAAUGUCUUGACAUACCACAGUUUAUCCUAUUAAAAGACAUCUUAGUUUGUCCUACUAAAGGACAUCUUAGUUUCUUCUAAAUUUUUGGUAAUUAUGCAUAAAGCUACUGCAAGCUUCCAUGUGCAGGUUUUUAUAUGGACCAAGAUUAAUGUGUGUGGACAUUUUCAACUUGUUUGCGUAAAUACCAAGAAAUUCAAUGUCCAAACUAUUCAAAGUGGUUGUAGCAUUUGUAUUCCCACCAGCAAUGAAUCAGAGGUCCUAAUGCUCUACAUAUUUACCAGCAUAUAGUGCUAUCAGCAUUUGAGAUCUUCAUCACUCUAGCAGAUGUGUAGUAGUGCUCCAUUAUUGUAUUAAUUUGCACUUCUUUAAGGAUAUCUUUUUCAUGUUUACUUGUCAUGUAUAAAACUUCUUUGGUGAAGUGUCUGUUCAAGUCUUUUGUUCAUUUUUAAAAAC